rnacentral:rRNA from 1 species
UACGUAGGCAGCAAGCGUUGUUCGGAAUUACUGGGCGUAAAGAGUGUGUAGGCGGUUCUCUAAGUCUGGUGUGAAAUCUCCCGGCUCAACUGGGAGGGUGCGCCGGAAACUGGAGGGCUCGAGUGUGGGAGAGGAAAGCGGAAUUCCUGGUGUAGCGGUGAAAUGCGUAGAUAUCAGGAGGAACACCUGUGGUGUAGACAGCUUUCUGGACCACGACUGACGCUGAGACACGAAAGCGUGGGUAGCAAACAGG